rnacentral:rRNA from 1 species
AUUCAGUCCUUAAAAAGUUCAAUUGGAGGGCAAGUCUGGUGCCAGCAGCCGCGGUAAUUCCAGCUCCAAUAGCGUAUAUUAAAAUUGUUGCAGUUAAAAAGCUCGUAGUUGAAUUUCUGCUGCAUCGUCGCAUCUCUUGCUGAGUGCUUCGUUUCGGCUUAUUUCGGAUUGAUUUUUUCUUUCCGGAUGAUUACUUUGAGAAAAUUAGAGUGCUCAAAGCAGGCUUUUGCCUUGAAUAGUUUAGCAUGGAAUAAUAAAGUAGGACUUUGGUUCUAUUUUGUUGGUUUUAGGUACCAAAGUAAUGGUUAAUAGGAACAGUUGGGGGCAUUCGUAUUUAACUGUCAGAGGUGAAAUUCUUAGAUUUGUUAAAGACGAACUACUGCGAAAGCAUUUGCCAAGGAUGUUUUCAUUAAUCAAGAACGAAAGUUAGGGGAUCGAAGACGAUCAGAUACCGUCGUAGUCCUA